GUCUCGGGGGCAAUGGCAAGAGGGAAACGCCUGGUUACAUUCCGAACCCAGAAGCUAAGCCUCUUAGCGCUGAUGGUACUGCAGGGGGGACCCUGUGGGAGAGUAAGACGCCCCCGGGCU
rnacentral:rRNA from 3 species